rnacentral:rRNA from 1 species
UACGAAGGGGGCAAGCGUUGUUCGGAAUUACUGGGCGUAAAGGGCGCGCAGGCGGCUGAUCAAGUCAGAUGUGAAAGCCCCGGGCUCAACCUGGGAAUAGCAUUUGGGACUGGUCGGCUAGAGUUCGGGAGAGGAGAGUGGAAUUCCCAGUGUAGAGGUGAAAUUCGUAGAUAUUGGGAAGAACACCGGUGGCGAAGGCGGCUCUCUGGACCGAUACUGACGCUGAGGCGCGAAAGCCAGGGGAGCAAACGGG